GUGCUGAUGCAGCCCAUGUACUAAAAUCGGAAAGACGCAGUGAAGACUAGCAUGGCCCCUGCAUAGGAUGACAUGCAGAUUCGUGACGUGUUCUGUGUUUUC